rnacentral:miRNA from 2 species
UGUCAUGGAGUUGCUCUCUUU